AGCGAACGCUGGCGGCAGGCCUAACACAUGCAAGUCGAGCGCCCCGCAAGGGGAGCGGCAGACGGGAGAGUAACACGUGGGGACGUACCCUUUAGUUCGGAACAACCCAGGGAAACUUGGGCUAAUACCGGAUACGUCCGUAAGGAGAAAGAUUUAUCGCUAAAGGAUCGGCCCGCGUCUGAUUAGCUAGUUGGUGAGGUAAUGGCUCACCAAGGCGACGAUCAGUAGCUGGUCUGAGAGGAUGAUCAGCCUCACUGGGACUGAGACACGGCCCAGACUCCUACGGGAGGCAGCAGUGGGGAAUAUUGGACAAUGGGCGCAAGCCUGAUCCAGCCAUGCCGCGUGGGUGAUGAAGGCCCUAGGGUUGUAAAGCCCUUUCGGCGGGGAAGAUAAUGACGGUACCUGAGGAAUAAGUCACGGCUAACUACGUGCCAGCCGCCGCGGUAAGAC
rnacentral:rRNA from 1 species